rnacentral:rRNA from 1 species
UACGUAGGGGGCAAGCGUUGUCCGGAUUUAUUGGGCGUAAAGAGCGUGUAGGCGGUCAGGUAGGUCCGUUGUGAAAACUCGAGGCUCAACCUCGAGACGCCGAUGGAAACCCCCUGGCUAGAGUCCGGAAGAGGAGAGUGGAAUUCCUGGUGUAGCGGUGAAAUGCGCAGAUAUCAGGAAGAACACCCGUGGCUAAGGCGGCUCUCUAGUACGGUACUGACGCUGAGACGCGAAAGCGUGGGGAGCAAACAGG